rnacentral:rRNA from 1 species
CAGCCGCCGCGGGAAUACAGAGGGUGCGAGCGUUAAUCGGAUUUACUGGGCGUAAAGCGUGCGUAGGCGGCUUUUUAAGUCGGAUGUGAAAUCCCUGAGCUUAACUUAGGAAUUGCAUUCGAUACUGGGAAGCUAGAGUAUGGGAGAGGAUGGUAGAAUUCCAGGUGUAGCGGUGAAAUGCGUAGAGAUCUGGAGGAAUACCGAUGGCGAAGGCAGCCAUCUGGCCUAAUACUGACGCUGAGGUACGAAAGCAUGGGGAGCAAACAGGAUUAGAGACCCCUGUAGUCCCUGUCUCUUAUAC